GCCAGUAUUCCAGCUCCAAUAGCGUAUAUUAAAGUUGUUGCAGUUAAAAAGCUCGUAGUUGGAUUUGUGGUGGUUACUGAGGUCCACUUUUGGUACCAACAGUAACCGCCAUCCUUGGGUGGAAUCUGUGUGGCAUUAGGUUGUCGCGCAGGGGAUGCCCAUCAUUUACUGUGAAAAAAUCAGCGCGUUCAAAGCAGGCUUAUGCCGUUGAAUGUAUUAGCAUGGAAUAAUAAGAUAGGACCUUGGUACUAUUUUGUUGGUUUGCGCACCGAGGUAAUGAUUAAUAGGGACAGUUGGGGGUAUUCGUAUUCCAUUGUCAGAGGUGAAAUUCUUGGAUUUCUGGAAGACGAACUACUGCGAAAGCAUUUACCAAGGAUGUUUUCAUUAAUCAAGAACGAAAGUUAGGGGAUCGAAGAUGAUUAGAUACCAUCGUAGUCGUCAU
rnacentral:rRNA from 1 species